GUCUUUUGGUUUGGGGUUGCUCUACUAGCUAGUUGUGUCUGCAGGCAGUCCUCGGUUGCCCAGGAAACACAGAUGGUGGAUGAAGGGCGUGCAUACAAAAGACCAUAAACCUGUGGCAGCAGCUGGAGACCGAGACCACUGAUUAAUUCAGGUCUGUGCAGUCCCUCUUAUUCAAAGACGUCUCUGUUCUCUUUAAUACCUCCCAUCCAUUUUCUUUGUCCCGGGGCUUCCGUCUCCACUUUAUCCUGUUUUCCCUGGACUGGUCUCCCGUCAGUGCGCAGCUGUUGUUGGCACUCCCACAUCUGCUUGUCUCGGCUCGGCAGCCAUGUAGACGACGCUCAGCCGCGGCUCGUGUAAGUGCGUAUAGCGCGUGGGUCCAGGGGGCGACCAGCCUUCUACUGCGGGGCUGAUCACAGGACACACAAGGCAUGCAUUUGCAAGUUCGGCAGCGCCUUCAGCAUGGAAGACAAAGAAGAAAAAAGAAGAAGAUCUUUUCACGUCGCCCGAUGCUGCGGGUCACGUGCACGGUGGAACCUGGAGAUCACUGGUAACCUUGUGGCCGGUGUUACUGGAUUCAUCUACAGAGCUGCUGACAUGUCACCAGUCAGGACACUGGGAGGGUCCAAAUGAGAACCAACAGCAGGACAGGUUAUGUGUACAAGCUGCAUUAUAUUUAUAAAAACCCCCACAUAGGAGGAUCGUUUUUAAUGGCACACAAUAUCAGAUGUAGAAUGUAGUAGCAUUAGUCAGCCAGUCAGAUCAUUUAUACUGUAGCUUAUAUCUGUUGGCAGUUCUCAUUUAUCUUAAUAAAAAGCAGUAAGGAGAAGCAAUAAAAAAAAAGAACAUGUACUCCCUUGGGUUUCUUGAGAGGACAGUUGGGUUGCGUCCCACUUUUCUGCUGCUUUGUGUUGUGUAUUCCUCUCCAGUUACACUGAUGAAGGAGCAGACCGGAUCUCGCUCUGGACCUCACGAGCGGCAUGGCUCCAUCUCCCUCUGCUGUGCUGCCUCGCAGACUGCAGUGAUCGAUGCACGGUGCCAUCGCUGAUGUCCAGACCCUCAGAAGGAGAGGAUCCAUGUCCAAGUGUUUUCCCACUGAGAGACGACUUCUGCUUUAGUGGGGCUUUGAAGAGUUCAAAAUGCUACUGCUGCUUUGUAGACAGUGUCAAUGUGUUCAGAUUUAACAGGACAACAUUUAACGGCUGGUGUUUUGAGUCCAAAAUAAUUUUCUGCAGCGUUCCUUCCUGUUUCAAAUGUGCAAAUGUUUCCGGCUGUCAGUAAUACUAAUAAUGCUUCAUCCACGCCCACGAUCAUGAGUUUUUUGGCUGAUCAAAAACACAGACACCGCAGCCAUCAAACACCUCUCACGCUUGUUUUCCUCAGCUGCGUGUGCAUUGACGUCUUCAAUCCAUUACCUGGGAUACUCUGUCAAACACGUACUUUUAAUUUACUUUAAAUUCUCCAGAAACUGUGUUUUAACAUGUGUUAACUUCUCACCAAAGCUAAAAUGUUUCAGUGCCAGAUCCAGAACUGGAAAGCUUUGUUAUUUUAAGCUUGUAACAUAAAAAAAAACAAAAAUCUGCUCAAGUGAGUGAGAAUGACUAGUUUUCUCACAUUUUGACAAUGUGUAAUUCACACAGUAUGUUCUUUGUUUGUCUUAAAACUUCUUAAUUUGGGUGUUAUACCAACUACUUUUAUGGUUCUACAGUGUGUAUUUUUACUCUAGCGUGUGGGCAGGUGUGUGUCAGCGUGAGUGCAUGUGUUUGUGUGCAUGUGCUCUAUGUGUGUGUGUGUGUGUGUGUUUGUUCCUGUAUGUGUGCAUGUGUCUGUAUGAUAAAACACUUUUGUAAUUGGCCUGAAGCUACUAGCUGCUUUUCAAUGGAUUUCUCUUCGCUGCACAGAUUUAAAAUGCCUGAAUCUCUCUUCUUUUAACACAUUGAAUGUACCAGACAAAGGAUUCAAAAAUAUUUACAAAUGAUUCUUAGCAUUUGUUCAGACCUCAUUGAAGUACCAGUUAGGUGGGGGUUCUUGUGAUCUAGAUAAUCACAAGAAUGAUGCUGGAAAUGAAUGGUCUGUAGUUUUCUGAAUGAUGCCUGCUAGCAUUAAUUAAACUGUCCCGAUGCCUACUGCCCCAUCAUCUGAUACUUCAGCAAAUUACAGCAAAUGCUAAUAAUUAUGUGCAAAUAGCUUUUUACCCAGGUCUGGAUUCUACUAACAAUAUUUGACUAAUAUCUAACAAUACUAAUGUCUGCUAACAGUCGGAUGAUUACUAACCUGUACUCUGAUGAAUGCUGAUGGCUGGCUUUGAUCUUUCUAACCCACUGACUAACCCUCUGCUUUAUGCCCGCAGUCCGAUGCACACACUCCUCUCUCAUGAUCCUGCAAUCCUUCUUCUAGAACUCACAGACUAAGAGGAAUUAGUAAAGCAGAAAAUCAAUGAAAACUGUUAAAGUGAGCAAGUCAGGAAGGGUUUCAGGACUUGGGAAGGGAAAUAUUAUUAACCAGUAGAUGGAAAGAGGAGGAGAAUCAGCUGCUGAUAUCAAACUGGGUUGACCACAUACUUAAGAAUACUCACGAAACCGAUUGUGAUCUGAUCAAAAAAAUAAUAUCACGUCACAGUGUCGCACCUCACAGGCUAAAUUCACAUCUUCAGAGACCGUCUUCUCUACCUGUGUGGUCAACCCUUGCAGAUGAGUGCCUGGCUUGUUGUCACCACAGGCCAAGCAAAUCUCAACUCCAAUACUAACUUAUUAUGGUAUUAAUACUAACAGUGGUGAGGCUCUAAAGACCCACCUGUUGCUCUUACUAACAUCUGGGUUCCUUCUGACUAAAACAUCCCGAUGUCUGUAAUGAAAUUAUUCCGUCUCUUUGUUCUUCUUUAAUUAAAUCAAAGCAUGCCUUGUGGCACUAGUGAUGCUUAUUAAAUUACAGUACAUGGAAGCUUUUAUCCAAAACAUCUUCUAGUGCCAUGAGUUUGUAUGCGUUUUAGCAGUGGGAACUAAGUCCUAGCUCUAACUGUGUCAAUGACAUGCUCAUCAGAAAUCCUUAUAAACAAGCUACUAACAUCUCCUAAAGUCAAAUUAUCAGGUACUAACCAAAAAUACAUUUUAUUAGCUCUCUGCAAACUAACAAACUAACCCACUAAUAAACUAAUAAUCUAACAAAAACUAACUAAAAUCACUAACUUUGUGCUGAGUGGCAGAAUUUGUGAAGCACCCUGUUUUGAGGAGUUGCAUCACUUAUUGAAUGUACUAACAGAAUUUAGUUUUUUAAGAAUGACGUAUUGAUGUGCCUGUCUGUCUAUGUGUGUGAAAGAAAGAGCACAACAGUGUGUGUGUGUGUGUGUGUGUGUGUGUGUUUAUUCUCUCAAACAAUGUAUUUAACAUAUAAAUGCAGAUUAUAUUUAUAGAGCAGUUUUAGCCAAAUGCAUCCACAGGUACUGACUACUCUGGUAGUACAACUGAGCACCAGGAUAUACUCCUUAAACCUUUCAAACAAUACACUUUGUGAAGUAGCAUGGAUGUAAAUACAAAUAACUUCAAUGUACACAACUCGUUUUGUACUAUAUUGCUAAUUUAUCAGUUGUCCUUUUACAUGCUUUUGUAAUAAACAAUUUUCACAUUUAUAUAUA